GAGUAACCCACGCAGGAACACGCAGUGGAAUGAGAAGGACUACUUCCACAGCCCACUGGUGUUUGACAGGUAAGAGGACCAGGAAGACUACAUAUCUGCCCCUGAUGAUGAAUACCUUCACACCCUGGAGGUCCACAGCAGCACCCUCAUCUAGCUGGAGAGAUGGUUCUCACCCACAGGCCAAACCUGAGUCACUGUGGUGGGGCCACUUAAGGCAAGGCUGUGGGUGAUGGACGUUAUCAGAAAAGUGGGGAGUAAGAACACUCUCGAUAAAAUUAAAGCGAUGGUGUCCCAUAUCCUGCUUCAUCCUGACAGAGGAAGACCUGGAGCUUCAUCCAGAAUAGGGGAGCAGUAUUUGGUUAUCUGAUUGA
rnacentral:lncRNA from 1 species